rnacentral:rRNA from 1 species
GUACGUGCAGAUUUAUUUAAGGGGGGAUCAUUA